rnacentral:lncRNA from 1 species
AUUCUCUGAAAAAGUUAGCUCGACUCAGGUGAAUUAUUUCUUGCAUUUGUACAUGACAACCUGAUUCUUAUAACAAGGCUUACUUAUCAAAAGACUUUGAAGGAUCUCCCUUCUCAGCAUCAAGGUAGAACAAAAAGUUGGACAUAUGUACUGUGCAUGAUUUUCUUAGUUUUUUUUUUCCAGUCAAGAUUAAGAGUUGCACCUACCAGAAAAGAAUGAUCUUAUAGUUUGAAUUGCCAGCUUUAGAGAAAUGAUACACUAGAUCCCAUCAAAUAUCAAGACCUAUUUACUCUUUUCUCUAUUUCCUUAACCAAAAGAGGCUCUUCCUAACAAAAAUAACACCUACCUCAAUACUAAUAUACAAUUAACUAUAAUCUUCAAUCUAUUUUGUGACCAUUCCUAGUCUUCCCCUGGGACUUCUACAUGAUUCUUUCAAAACUCUUGAGCCCGGUGGGUGAAAGAUUGAAGAUACAAGUAAAAUUUAUAUGUUCCCAGUUUCUAUGGGGCCAGGGAAUUGGAUGCUAGUUUACAGAAAUGACUGUUUCCCAAAUUUCCCCAAUAAUAAUUUCUUAUGGUAUUUGUUAAAAAUACAAUUUCCCUGGUCUCAUCGCAGACUUGAUGAUUCAGAAAUUCCAAGACUUGGAAGCUAAGGAACUAUAUUUUUAACAAACACUCCUUAUGAUUCAUACCAUAAGAAAAAUUGGAAAAACAGUGAUAUAGACUAUCAGUGUCUGUUAUGUUCUA